GAUGAACGCUGGCGGCGUGCCUAAUACAUGCAAGUCGAGCGAACAGACGAGGAGUUUGCUCCUCUGACGUUAGCGGCGGACGGGUGAGUAACACGUGGAUAACCUACCUGUAAGACUGGGAUAACUUCGGGAAACCGGAGCUAAUACCGGAUGAUAUAUUGAACCGCAUUGUUCAAUAGUGAAAGACGGUUUUGCUGUCACUUAUAGAUGGAUCCGCGCCGCAUUAGCUAGUUGGUACGGUAACGGGUUACCAAGGCGACGAUGCGUAGCCGACCUGUGAGGGUGGUAGGCCACCCUGGAACGUAGACGCGGUCCAUACGCCUACGGGACGCAGCAGUAGGCAAUCUUCCGCAAUGGGCGGAAGCCUGACGGAGCAACGCGGCGUGAGUGAUGAAGGUCUUCGGAUCGGAAAACUCUGUUAUUAGGGAAGAACAAAUGUGUAAGUAGCUAUGCACGUAUUGACGGUACCUAGUCAGAAAGCCACGGCUAACUACGUG
rnacentral:rRNA from 1 species